CCACGGGAGGCAGCAGUGAGGAAUUUUGCGCAAUGGGGGAAACCCUGACGCAGCAACGCCGCGUGAGUGAUGAAGGCCUUCGGGUCGUAAAGCUCUGUCUAGUGGGGAGAACUUGCUUGAUGCUAAUAUCACCAGGCACAGACGGUACCACUGAAGGAAGCACCGGCUAACUCCGUGCCAGCAGCCGCGGUAAUACGGAGGGUGCAAGCGUUAUUCGGAAUUAUUGGGCGUAAAGGGCGCGUAGGCGGCCUUAAAAGUCAGAUGUGAAAGCCCAGGGCUCAACCCUGGAAGUGCAUUUGAUACUAUGAGGCUUGAGUAUGGGAGAGGGAAGUGGAAUUCCUGGUGUAGAGGUGAAAUUCGUAGAUAUCAGGAGGAACACCGGUGGCGAAGGCGACUUCCUGGACCAAUACUGACGCUGAGGCGCGAAGGCGUGGGGAGCAAACAGGAUUAGAUACCCGCGUAGUC
rnacentral:rRNA from 1 species